rnacentral:lncRNA from 1 species
GAAUUAAACAGAAAGUUUAUUCAGUAGGCUCCUGAACUGUUGCAUUUAGGGAAGGGGCAUUUAAAGGGCAAUUUUUCUAACUUUCGAAAGAAAAUUGAAAAAGCAGUUCUUGGAAUAAAAAUUUACAGAAAGGACAAGAACGCUGAUAGCAUGAGCCUUAACAUACGAACCUUAUGAUCUUUUCCCCAGCUCUGUCUAGAAUUUUCAGCUAUUGUCUAGUAUUUACAAUAUCAUUCCUGACACCACCUGUUGGUGUCAGAUUAAUGCGAUACUUAUUUUCCUGAAUAAAAAUAACAUCCGGCUACAGGAAUGAGUGCCUUAAAAUACAAUGUAUCUACUUUUAUUUCCUUCUUCACUCAAAGAGUUCUUUUCUGGGUCCCCAAUACAAACAAACUCUCAAAGUUAAAAGUA